CGCUGAAAGACCAAGGGUUCCAGUCCAACGUUAAUCGGGGCUGGGUGAGUCGACCCCUAAGGCGAGGCCGAAAGGCGUAGUCGAUGGGAAAUUGGUUAAUAUUCCAAUACUUCUGUGUAAUGCGAUGAGAGGACGGAGAAGGUUAAGUCAGCCUGGCGUUGGUUGUCCAGGUGAAAGACAGUAGGCAUGCAUCUUAGGCAAAUCCGGGGUGCUCUAUGCUGAGAGUCGAUAGCAAGCUAGUUUACUAGCGAAGUGGCUGAUACCCUGCUUCCAGGAAAAGUCUCUAAGCUUCAGUUACACAGGAAUCGUACCCGAAACCGACACAGGUGGUCAGGUCGAGUAGACCAAAGCGCUUGAGAGAACUCUGCUGAAGGAACUAGGCAAAAUGGUACCGUAACUUCGGGAGAAGGUACGCUGCUGACGGUGAUGGGAUUUACUCCCUGAGCGGUUGGCAGCCUCAGAAACCAGGCCGCUGCAACUGUUUAUUAAAAACAUAGCACUCUGCAAACACGAAAGUGGACGUAUAGGGUGUGAUGCCUGCCCGGUGCUGGAAGGUUAAUUGAUGGGGUUAGCGUAAGCGAAGCUCUUGAUCGAAGCCCCAGUAAACGGCGGCCGUAACUAUAACGGUCCUAAGGUAGCGAAAUUCCUUGUCGGGUAAGUUCCGACCUGCACGAAUGGCAUAAUGAUGGCGGCGCUGUCUCCAGCAGAGGCUCAGUGAAAUCGAAAUCGCCGUGAAGAUGCGGUGUACCCGCGGCUAGACGGAAAGACCCCGUGAACCUUUACUGCAGCUUGACAUUGAACUUUGAUCUUACUUGUGUAGGAUAGGUGGGAGGCUUUGAAGUAGUGACGCCAGUUACUAUGGAGCCAUCCUUGAAAUACCACCCUGGUAAUAUUGAGGUUCUAACUCUGUCCCGUUAUCCGGGACGAGGACCAUGUCUGGUGGGUAGUUUGACUGGGGCGGUCUCCUCCUAAAGAGUAACGGAGGAGUACGAAGGUGCGCUCAGCGUGGUCGGAAAUCACGCGUAGAGUAUAAAGGCAAAAGCGCGCUUAACUGCGAGACCAACAAGUCGAGCAGGUACGAAAGUAGGUCUUAGUGAUCCGGUGGUUCUGUAUGGAAGGGCCAUCGCUCAACGGAUAAAAGGUACUCUGGGGAUAACAGGCUGAUACCGCCCAAGAGUUCAUAUCGACGGCGGUGUUUGGCACCUCGAUGUCGGCUCAUCUCAUCCUGGGGCUGAAGCAGGUCCCAAGGGUAUGGCUGUUCGCCAUUUAAAGAGGUACGCGAGCUGGGUUUAGAACGUCGUGAGACAGUUCGGUCCCUAUCUACCGUGGGCGCUGGAAAUUUGAGAGGAUCUGCUCCUAGUACGAGAGGACCAGAGUGGACGAACCUCUGGUGUACCGGUUGUGACGCCAGUCGCAUCGCCGGGUAGCUAUGUUCGGAAGGGAUAACCGCUGAAAGCAUCUAAGCGGGAAGCCUACCUCAAGAUUAGAUUUCCCAAGGAAUUUAUUCCUCUAAAGAUCCGUUCGAGACUAGGACGUUGAUAGGUUGGAUGUGGAAGCAUAGUGAUAUGUGUAGCUGACCAAUACUAAUUGAUC
rfam:Acinetobacter rudis CIP 110305 genomic scaffold acVBL-supercont1.1, whole genome shotgun sequence.